UUUGUCCUCUUUUUUUUCACCACAGAAUACUCAGAAAAAUAUCAGGAGAUUCUAGACAGAGAAGACUACUUCCCUGAUGCAUAUGAGCAGAAUGGAAAUGAAUCUUCCUGUGACGAUGAUGAUGAAAUGGAUCCAGAGAUCGAGGAGGCGUUUGAGAAGUUUUGCCUGGAGUCGGAUGCAAAAAGAAGGAAAUGAGAGACUGUGAGGUUGUCAUGUUAACACAUUACCCGACCAGCUGGAAUGUUUCAGAGUGGGCGGAACCAAGAACACUUCGGUUGAUUUUCGUUUCAUUUCUCAUCAAUCACUUCUUGGCUACAACAUCGCUGGAUUUAUGGCUGGGAUUACUGUUUAGUUGAAAUGCGGUAUAAUUUGCAAGUUCGUCAGGCCAUCAAGUUGUCAGUAGCCAUUGGUUUGGCAUUUGGGAUGUGAGGUUUAUUUUAUGCGUGUUCUGAUUUAUCAAACAUCCCCUCAAAAAAAAAAAAGUUUGCAGUGAAAUUUUAAUAUGAGCCGAAGAGUAGCAUCAUCGUGUACGUGUGGUUUGUUUGCAGAUUAACUGCUCAGUAAAUGUAGGAGAAAUGAGGCGGGGCGUGUCGCUUUGUGUUUUACUCCUCAAGGCUUUGCCGUAUAAAGUUACAGAGCACUGACCGUAAGACAAAAACGUUUUAAGAAAACAAAACUACUGUUAUUCCUUCCACAGAUUCUCCUUGAAUCUUUACUUUGAGUUCUACUUUCAAUUUAUUCACGUUUGUGAGGAAAAGAGGAACCCCAACUUUAAAGUAUGUUUGGUUUUUUUGAAUGCAGGGAUACAUUUUUCCACAUCUGUUAAAUAAGCGUGUCAAAUCAGAGGAAAAGCUCAGUACAGGUUUGGGGAUUUACACAGAUUCAUCCGCCACUGUGAUUUACAGAUGUUUUCUGAUCACCAUUCAUCUCAUGGAUCCCAGAUAAAGGAAUGUUUAUUUUAAUAUAGCUGUAAAUAUUAUUUGCUGCAUUGUUUGCCUGCAAUAAAUCUUUAUUAAUACAC